AUAAAUGGCAAAGUAGUCGAAAGGCUGCGACGCAAAGCUACAGGGCCUGUAAAAUGGCAGCCAGUUGC
rnacentral:ncRNA from 1 species